CGAGAGAGAGAGAGGAGAGAGAGAGAGAGAAGCUAAGGUUCGUUAGCUCUGCUGAUCGGAUGUUUAGCUGUAGGAAACUGCUCCGAACGUCGCGUAACCACGACGACCCUCGCGUCGCGUGCGAGAGAGAGCGAAACGUGCGACGCGCGUCGGUUUCCAUGUUCGCUUGUUCCCUCUUCGCUUUGUGUCUCGGCUGCAGACCGAUCGGAUGAAUUAUAGAAACCAGAGUGACCAACGGCGGCUGUUUAUUCAUUCCAAUGUUAUCGAUCCGAUUCGAUCGUAUGUUGCAGAAACAGUCAAAAAAUGGAAGAUCGGGUAGAAAAAAAAUGGGGGACCAAAAAGUGACGCGAGUUGUGUUGUUAUCGGCCGUCCUGCCGCGGGGUAAAAAAUUGCCGGGAAGGUUGUACGGUUCACGAUCAUGUAUGGUUUUACACCACUGUCGUUUGAUUUUCAAUAAAUUUGUGUAGUUUGAA